GUUCGAAUUGCGCGGGUUGUAGUCGACAAAGGCAUAGCCGCGCGACUGGUCGAUCGUGUGGAACAGCGGGUUCCAGCUGAACAUCACCAGCAUGUAGUUGGGCAGCGUGUUGGCGACAAACAUCUUACCCGACGCGAUCAUGUUGGCCCUCUG
rnacentral:ncRNA from 1 species